CGAGAGUUUGUGUUUGUAUGGAUCGGUCCCUCUGGGCGAGGCGAGUCUGUCAAACUUGUCAGGCCGGGCGGGAGGCGGAGGAGGCUGCUCUCCUCAGGGAGCGGUGAGGCGGCGGAGCGUCGCUCCCCUCUGUGGCAGGCAGCGCCGUGCGCCCGGGUGUCAGGCACCUGCCCCGCUCACGCGCUCCCUCGUGCCAACUGCAGGGAUCGUGCCCAGAGUAUCAGAUGCCUCAGGUUGGAUCUAUGCCAAGUACCUCUCGGGGGUGUGCUUAGCAGUGCACGUCGCUCAGUGCUGAGCGAGGCAGAGCUAAUGGCUGCGGUAUGUUGUGAGGUGUCACAAACAGCAGUGCACGCGGAGAUUUCUGUCCGUGAACUCGCUGGGACUGAAAUAAACACGUCAUUUAUCAUCCUAAAAGGAAUCCAAGGCCUCCAGCAUCAACUGCAGGGGCUGCUCAGACACUGAGUGGCCACGAAGAGUGUACAUGCUUAGGCUGGGAAGUCAAAGAAAUCCAAAGGAGGUCAAUGAGCAAUAGUUUUCUGCAUGAUGCACAAAAAUGCUACACUGGGGAAGUUAAGUCACAUUUACAGGCUUCUUUGCUGAAAUGGCAGAGUCAUUGCUAUACAAGAAAAACAAGCUGUAGAAAUAUCCUUUAGCAGAAAUGGUGGCUCCAGUCUAUUUGCAACAACAGUUUCUCCAAGACAUCUCUAUUCAGCUGCUAUCAAAAGGAGAUGUGAGUUGAAGUCCCCAACUGAUUGGCAAGAGCAUGGGUACAGUGGAAGCGUGGAGAACAGCAUGCACCAAGAGCUAUUUCCUCCAGAUGGCAUCUUGAGUCUGGACAGCAAAAGCACUGAUCAGCUGCUGAGAACAAUUUGUAGCAACUCUAACUCUGAACAACAGACCAAUUAUUAAACAAUCAAUUUGUAAACA